rnacentral:misc_RNA from 1 species
UGUGAAGCACACGACUAACCUGAUUAAUUGAAUAACUCCAAUUGAUUACAUGAUUGAGAUUGAUACAGAGAUUAACGCGAUAAAAAAUUGUCCUGGAGAAAGCAUAUAACCCACAUAAUGGUAUUCUCAACACAGUGAAGAAAAAAAAAAAAAAAAGGAUUUAUUUACACAGCUGGUAAUUCUUGUGAGCCUGAUUGUUAUGUGCGCUGGCGAUGCAUAACCAUUUACCAUUUAAUAUAUUCCUAUUCAAAAACAAGUUCCACAAAAAUGUAUUAAAUUCUCUAUAUACUAAAUGGCAA